AACCAAAACUGAGAAGAUUAGUUAGCCUGGCCACUGGCAAGGACAGUGCAAUUCUACCUUGGGCAAAAACAUUUGAGAAUCACUGCAACAGGCCCCUCCCUGAGAAGAUAAGCAAGAACAUCCAGGCAAGACCAAAUUCACCAAUAGACAAGAAAAGCGAAACUCCAGAGCUAGAGG